rnacentral:lncRNA from 10 species
CAAGUGAUCCUCCCACCCUAGCCUCCUGAGUAACUAGGCCCACAGAUGUGUCCCACCACACCCUGCAGUGAGGCCUCGCUAUGUUUCCCAGGCUGGUCUUGAACUCCUGGACUGAACCAAUCCUCCCGCCUCAGCCUCCCAAAGUGUUGGGAUUACAGGCGUGAGCCACUGCACCCAGCCAGUAUUUGUCUUUUUAUGUCUCGCUUAUUUCACUCAGAACAUUGUCUUCAGGGCUGAUGUAUGUUGUAGCAUAUGUCAGCAUUUCCUUCUUGUUUAAGGCUGCAUAAUAUUCCACUGUGUGGAUGGGCCAUAUUUUGCUUAUCUGUUCAUCCCUCCAUGGAACUUGGGUUGCUCCCACCUCUUUGUUACUGUGAAUAAUGCUGAUAUAAACAUGGGCGUGGGCUGCGUGCAGAGGCUCAUGACUAUAAUCCCAGCUACUGAGGCUGAGACUAGAGGAUCACUCCAGGCCAGGAGUUUGAGACCAGCAGAGCCAACACAGCAAGACUUUAUCUCUACAAAACAUUUUUUUGGAAAUACUAGUCAGGUGUGAUGGCACACACCUACAGUACUGGCUGCUUGGGAGGCUGAGGUGGGGCGAUAGCUUGAGCCCAGGAGUUUGAGGUUACAGUGUACUAUGACUGCACCACUGCACUCCAGCCUGAGCGACAGAGCCAGACUCUGUCUCUAAAAUAAUUACAGCUACUUGGGAGGCUGAGGCAAGAUAAUUGCUUGAACCAGGGGGAGGUUGCAGUGACCAGUGCACUCCAGCCUGGGUGACAGAGCGAGACUCUGGCUCAAAAAGAGAAAGCAUAAGGAGUGGGGACUUUUAGAUAACUUUUCGGGGGGCAGACGGGAGAGGCAUUCAACGAAGGACCACUUUAGGAGGUUGUCUGGGCAGAUGGAUUCCGUGAAGUGCUUUGAAUGUAAGUCAGACCACUGGGGCUGCCUCGCUCCUGUCGCGCACAUUCACCCACAUCCAUCCCCAGGCCUGAAUGUAAGGGCUCAAACAGACCUGCAAAUACACUCGGCACCUGCGAGUGGGCAGCUGCUGUGCAGACCACCCCAUCCCAUUUUCUGGUCCGUUAAACUCAUGCAUAAUGGUCGUAGCAAUGGCCAAGUUGUCAUUGCUGGGCAGAAAGUUCCUUUAAGACAGGAAUAAUAAGGCCCACUUAGGAAGCACUCUGGAUUGUAAUAGGGUUUCCAGUGGCCACCAGCAGGGUGGCAUCCUGAUUUUCUACCAGGCCAUGUAGAAGCCUUUUGUGCUUAGCUGCUCGUGUUAAUCCUCACAACUGCAUAAGGCUGACACAUCAGGGAACUGAAGCACAGAGAUGUUUGGGAAAUUCUCCAAGGUCACACAGCUACUCAGUGGUGGAGGUGGCAUCAGAACCCAGGAAGGCUGACUGAAGCCACCGUUCUGCCUCGCUCACUGGCAUCCUCAGCCUCCAGCCUGAGGCAGGACAUUCUAGGACAGCUGAUGAAUACAAGCAUGGUCAGUGUGGGUGGCCAGGGCCCUCGCUCAGCAAGUGGGAGCAAAGUGGAGGAUUCCAGGACUCACUACCUCAUGAUCUUCCACCAGCCUCCCACUACCUCUAGUCACCCCUACCUAAGCUGCCCCUCUGUAUGAAAAUGCUGGGGUUGGAGAGUGGGGCAGGCUAGGGAAAGAAGACAAUGUGAUUUAACCUGUCCCUAAAUGGUUAGAUAGCAUCUCUGGAGUUAAAGAUCUCAGCUAUCAGUUAAAAUGCAAACUGAGCUACUAUCUGUCAUUUAGAGAUGACGCAGAUGAAGAAGCUGAGGAUGUGACCUAGAAAAAAGCAGGAACGACCUAGGGACUUAGCAAGGGACAAAGGACCAGAAACAGGCAAAGAGAAACAAAAUUUAACCUUCUCUACAGUGUCGCUUAGGGCUGGGCUGGCUAUCUCCAUAGAUAUCCAAUUCCUUAACACCUAAGGGCGUAGGAGAGGAAUGAGACCAAGGUUUAGGAUGAAUAAUCUAGGAAAUCCCUUGAAAGGAAGAAAAGAGGAUCAUCAGAGACAUCUUCUGGAGCUCCACAAACUGCUCAGAGCAGAGAGGCCACCAGAUACGAAUGCUGCCUCAGAUAAUCCAAUGGAGGAAGAGGGUUUGGCUGGUAUUUUCUGGCUGAGUUCUUGAUAAGAAACUGUAAUCACAUCUGCUAGCUAGGGAUCCAAGAAAAACAAGAUAUUGUCUCUUUAUACACAUUCCACAGCCCCUACCUUCUCUCAAGAGAUGUUAAAAUGGCUUAAAAUGUGUUAAAAUGUGACAAUUUAAUAAAUGUGGCAGAAACAAAAAAGAGACUCCUAAAGUAUUCCUCUCUUCAGAGAGUAUGAAGCUAUUAAUUCAGCAAAUGAAUCCAGUAAUCCCAGCACUCUGGGAGACCGAGGCGGGCGGAUCACCUGAGCUCAGGUGUUCGAGGCCAGCCUGGCCAACAUGGAGAAAGCCUAUCUCUACUAAAAAUCACAAAAAUUAGCUGGGCGUGGUGGCGGGGCACCUGUAAUCCCAGCUACUGGGGAGGCUGAAGCAGGAGAAUCGCUUGAACCCAGGAGGCGGAAGUUGCAGUGAGCCGGGAUCGUGCCACUGCACUCCAGCCUGGAUGACAGAGUGAGACUUCGUCUCAAAAAAAAAAAAAAAAAAAGUUGAGCCUGGUGAUCCGUUUCAGUCUUGCAGGAUGAAAAAGUUCUAGAGAUGGUUGGUGGUGAUGGUUGUACAACACUGAAUAUAUUUAACACCACUGAGCUGUAUACUUAAAAAUGUUGAAGAUGGUAAAUUAUAAGUGUAUUUACCACAAUUAAAAAUGUUUACAUUAGAAAUUAAAGGCCACCCUGGGCAACAUAGUGAAACCCUGUUUCUACAAAAUUAAAAAUUAAAAAAUUAGCCAGGCAUGGUGGCACCCUCCUGUAAUCCCACCCACUCGGGAGGCUGAGGUGGGAGGAUCGCUUGAGCCCAGGAAUUCUAGACAACAGCAAGUCCUGAUGGCACCACUGCACUCCAGCCUGGGUGACAAAGUGAGAUUCUCUCUCUCUCUCUCUCUCUAUAUAUAUAUAUGUGUGUGUGUGUAUAUAUAUGUGUGUGUGUAUAUAUAUAUGUGUGUGUGUAUAUAUAUACAUAUGUGUGUAUAUAUAUACAUAUGUGUGUAUAUAU